rnacentral:tRNA from 1 species
GGUUGUAGCUUAGUGGUAGAGUGCUUGCCUGGCACAGAGGAGGCACUGGGUUCUAUCCUCAGCACCA